AACGAACGCUGGCGGCAGGCUUAACACAUGCAAGUCGAGCGCCCCGCCAGGGGAGCGGCAGACGGGUGAGUAACGCGUGGGAACGUACCUUUUGGUUCGGAACAACUCCGGGAAACUGGAGCUAAUACCGGAUAAGCCCUAACGGGGAAAGAUUUAUCGCCGAAAGAUCGGCCCGCGUCUGAUUAGCUAGUUGGUGAGGUAACGGCUCACCAAGGCGACGAUCAGUAGCUGGUCUGAGAGGAUGAUCAGCCACACUGGGACUGAGACACGGCCCAGACUCCUACGGGAGGCAGCAGUGGGGAAUAUUGGACAAUGGGCGCAAGCCUGAUCCAGCCAUGCCGCGUGAGUGAUGAAGGCCUUAGGGUUGUAAAGCUCUUUUGUCCGGGAAGAUAAUGACUGUACCGGAAGAAUAAGCCCCGGCUAACUUCGUG
rnacentral:rRNA from 1 species